AGUCAACCAGCAGGUGUCAGCAGGACUCAAGAGAGGCAACAGUAACUUUGAAACACACAAGUUGGUACCUGGUUCUGGGCCUCCUCCAGGUUGCUGCUGGCCCACAGUGACAGGCCCAGACGAUGACGGAUCCUAGCCUCCUCCUCUCUCCUCCCACACUGCUCUGCUAAACGCAGACCUGAAACAGAGAAAGAGGAAAGAGAGAGAGGGAGUCUCAAAACAUCAUCAAAUCACCCCUCUCCUACCCUCCCUCUAUCUCCAAGAACCAUGUCUUCAUUCAUACUCUCUCUCGAUCUCUCUCUCCUCUCACCUUCCUGCAGGUACAUGACAGCCUGUGUGUAGUUCUGUAGCGCAUGGUGUGUCCUCCCCAGGCUGCCGUACGCCAGUGUCUUGGCUGUGAGGUCAUUAUUCUGCGCUGCCACACUCAGGUGCUGCUCCUGACAGUCCUCAGCCUUGCUAUAUUCCCCCAGGGCUUUGUAGGCCAGACCCAGGUUACAGUAGGCUUUAGCCUGGGACAACUUAUCACCCAGGUCUUUAGCCAGGGCCAGGUCCUGCUCAUAAUACCUGUCAGUAAAGAAAAAAAAGAAAAUGACUAAGAGUGUGUGGCUCAUCUUCUUCACAAAGUUGAGACCUUUGUGUCAUUUAUUUGGAGAGGUCGGGACAACCUUUAUGAGUUAUUAUUAUACAUAGAAGGUGUAUGAAGAGUGUGUCCUACCUGACGGCCUCCCUGUACUGUCCCAAGCAGUAGUGUGUGUAGGCCAGGUUGUGGCAGACCUUGCCCUCUCCCUCCAGGUCCUGUAGCUGAGGCGACAGGGUCAGGUACUGCUGGUAGUACGGAACCGCCGGGGCAUACUCCCCUCUACAGCAGUGGAAGUUACCCAGGUUACCUACACACACACAAACACACACACCCUUUACCUUUAGGAAUCAUUCAAGUUUAUUUAAUAUUGUUUUGUAUUACUUUGUCCAUCUGUCCAUCCGUUACCUAGUGCCCUGGCCGUGCUCUGCGUGUCUCGUAGCUCGCGUGCGAUGGUCAGGUGGUGCAGAUAGUGCUGGAGAGCCUGGUCGUGAGCGCCCAGCGCCUGAUAAGCUACAGCCAGGUUACCAUGGGUAGAGGCCUGGGAGGGACGGUCAUUCACCUGGGAGAGGAAAGAAAGGUCAAUACCAGGGCCGCAUUCAGCAGGACACAAAGUUGGCCAACGUUCAGAUAGAAAUGUAUGAUGCAGAACAAACAUAUCUCUUUGGUAUAUAAAAUAAGGAAUCACGUCAGCUCUAGUCAUGGCAUUUCUAUCUGCAACGUUCUA
rnacentral:lncRNA from 1 species